rnacentral:rRNA from 1 species
GCACUUGGCCUAAAUACCUUAAAGGCACCAAAUCCUGUCAGAUCUUGGAAGCUAAGCAAGGUUAGCUCUGGUUAGUACUAGGAUGGGAGACCAUCAAUGGAUACCUGGUGCCAUAGGCA